rnacentral:rRNA from 1 species
GACGAACGCUGGCGGCGUGCUUAACACAUGCAAGUCGAGCGGUAAGGCCCUUCGGGGUACGACGAGCGGCGAACGGGUGAGUAACACGUGGGUGACCUGCCUCUAGCUCUGGGAUAAGCCUGGGAAACUGGGUCUAAUACCGGAUAUGACUCCACGGCGCAUGUUGUGGGGUGGAAAGCCUUGUGUGGCUAGAGAUGGGCCCGCGGCCUAUCAGCUUGUUGGUGGGGUGAUGGCCUACCAAGGCGACGACGGGUAGCCGGCCU